ACGGGUGAGAAACGCGUGAGAAUUUACCCUUUAGUGAAGAAUACCCUCGAGAAAUCGAGGUUAAUACUGCAUACGUCCCUUCGGGGAGAAAGAUGGCCUCUUUGCUGUCGCUAAAGGAUAAGCUUGCGUACUAUUAGCUAGUUGGUGAGGUAAAGGCUCACCAAGGCGAUGAUGGUUAGCCGGCCUGAGAGGGUGUACGGCCACACUGGAACUUAGACACGGUCCAGACUCCUACGGGAGGCAGCAGUGGGGAAUAUUGCGCAAUGGGCGAAAGCCUGACGCAGCGACGCCGCGUGGAGGAUGAAGGUCUUCGGAUUGUAAACUUCUGCUAAGUGGGAAGAAAUACCUACUUCUAAUAAAAGUAGGGGAUGACGGUACCAUUAGAGAAAGCACCGGCUAACUUCGUGCCAGCAGCCGCGGUAAUACGAAGGGUGCAAGCGUUAUUCGGAAUCAUUGGGCGUAAAGGGUGUGUAGACGGUAUGUUAAGUCUGUUGUUAAAUUCUCCGGCCUAACUGGAGACGUGCAGUGGAAACUAUCAUGCUUGAGGGUGGAAGAGAGAAGUGGAAUUCUCGGAGUAGCGGUAAA
rnacentral:rRNA from 1 species